rnacentral:tRNA from 1 species
GGGUAGGUAGCUCAGGUGGUAGAGCAACGGACUGAAAAUCCGUGUGUCGUGAGUUCAACUCUCACCCUGCCCA